rnacentral:lncRNA from 1 species
GUUAAAAACACGUAAACGGUCACGUGGUAUUUUCAUUGAGUCGGAAAUGAAAGUUCGCUAGCACCAGAAGUGGAGCUCAGCUGAACGUUUUCUCCAAGCAAGGGGUCAAAGCAAGUCCAGUUCUAAAACCUCCUCUCCCCAACGUGACGUUACAUGAGGGGAGACUCCUCCCGGGAAUUCCUAAACCACUACCCCCACGAUAAUACGGAACCAAAACUGGACUUCCGCCAUUAUUCCCCCACUCACGUUAAGUCCAGCUCCGUUCUUGGGUGUCCCACAGCAAAACUUAGUCAGUCUACUAACAUAUCAACACGUGAGGACAUUUGUAUGUAUGUGGACUUUCAUCUUAGACUGUUUCGACAACGAGGGUGCUACAAUGCUGGGUUUGCUUCACGGCUCUUGUUGAAGAAAGAAUCUUUUCCUACAGUCCAUCAUCCACACACUGUGGGGGGGGCACAUCCCAGUUACCCACAGGCAAGGAGGUUGUCAGACAGAGCAAUCACUGCAGACUGUUGGUACACAGACAUCUGCUGCCCAGCUCAGGAGUGAAGUACCUUUGUUUUGAUGAGGUGAUGGUGAGGACAGCCACAGCCUCCAUCUGGUAGAGGACUGCUUCUGCUCAGUCUUCCAAAUAGUGAUGAGAACAAGAAUCACCACAUCUCCCUGGUCAUCUGUCUACAACUACACCUGUCCUGCUGCAGAAACAAAUCUCCAACAUAACUAAGUUUUCCACCUACCCAGGAUAUGGUCUGUUUACCCUACUUCUAUCCAGCAAAGCACUUCCACUGAAAGGCCCUGCAAACGCUUCUGUCCUCAACCCCCCAGGCUUCUCAAUUCACUCGGUAACCUAUACAGUGGAUGAUAGAAGAUAACAGUUUCUUGCAUUUACUGGUUGAAAUAAAGUUGGCUUUGGCCAUUACA